rnacentral:lncRNA from 1 species
GAAUUGUCAAGAUAAUUCCUGCCCCACUAACAGUUAGGGUAGAGGAACCAUCUGCAUAUAGAGUCCAAACAUUCUGCUCCUGUUGAAGAACUGCAACUGCUCGAUCGGACGAUUCAGCUUCCGGUAACUCGGCAUCUGCUUCGGUGAACGAACAUUCUACCAUGAAAUCGGCCAAAGCUUGACCUUUGAUAGCGGUUCGUGGAUGGUAUUCGAUGAAAAACUGUGACAACUCCAUUGUCCACGCCGCUAAUCUUCCUGAAACUUCUGGCUUGCCCAUCACCUUCUUCAAUGGCUG